GUCCAAAUAACCUCAGAAGCCAAUAUGGAACAUAGAAGUUGGUGAAUCGCCUCUGUGACGACCUUUAGCAGUGUGUGUGUCAUCAGUCUCGACAUCCAAACCGAAUUUUGGUUGAAGGAUCCAUCCCGUCUCUGUGGUGUGAUUACAACAGUUGGCCCUGGUAUAUAUAGAGAGGCCAGGAGCCUUGGAGUAGAUCACACUGUUGCUACAACAUGGCAGAGGUAACUGAGAAACCACAGGAGCCUAACUCCGAUUCAGAGAUACAAACUGCAAGUUCAGAACAACAAACGCCAAGGGUCACAGGGCAGAGAAGAGGAAGACCCCUUAUCAAC